UUUUGCAUGAACUUCCAGCCUUCAGUCUUCUCUAAAGCCUUGAAAUGGCUAGAGAUCAACUUCAUGCACUUGAGGUAAAGAUCCGGUGCAUCGCAGAGCUUUGCCAAUUGAAGCACAUCCACCACAUUCUCAAUCGUCAACUGUUGACCAACAGCCUUGGCGCAUCUCUGCUUCAGAAGCGGGACCAGGUACACAUGGGAUAAUGCCAAUGCCAGUAGAUGGAUCCCAAACUUCUCCAACUCCUCUUCAUUGCACCUCGAAGAGUAGAUGAAUCGAACAAACGCCGCAACGGCGUCGCAAGGGACGCCGACGAUGG
rnacentral:misc_RNA from 1 species